AUUGAACGCUGGCGGCAGGCCUAACACAUGCAAGUCGAACGAGUGGCGGACGGGUGCGUAAUGUCUGGGAAACUGCCUGAUGGAGGGGGAUAACCACUGGAAAAGGUAGCUAAUACCGCAUACCAUCGGAUGUGCCCAGAUGGGAUUAGCUAGUAGGUGGGGUAACGGCUCACCUAGGCGAAGAUCCCUAGCGGGUCGGAGCGGAUGACCCGCCACACUGGAACUUAGACACGGUCCAGGCUCCUACGGGAGGCAGCAGAGGGGAAUAUUGCACAAUGGGCGCAAGCCUGAUGCAGCCAUGCCGCGGGGAUGAAGAGGGCCUUCGGUGUGUAAAGUACUUUCAGCGGGGAGGCGGUACCCGCACAAGAAGCACCGGCUAACUCCGUGCCAGCAGCCGCGGUAAUAC
rnacentral:rRNA from 1 species